CCUCACACCUGCACCUCCCCCCUGUCCGUCCCCCCGGUGGCCCGGGGCCGGCGCUCGGGACCCUCGCUCGGCGCUGUGCGAGCCCGGCCCGGGGGCUGCUCCCGGCAGGGACCGCGCCGAGCCCGGGGCGCUGCGGCGGGGCCGCGACUGGGGCCGGGGGUGCGGGGCCGGGCGCUGCCGGGCCGGGCGCUGCCGGGGUCCGUUCGCGGAGCGGUGCUGCCUCUCCCCCGGUGCGGGUCCCGGGGGUGGCGGACCGAGGCGGCAUUGGGGAGGACGCAGAGGAACCCGGCGGCUCCCGCGGCUGGCUCAGAGCUCCCACAUGCCAGGGCUGGGAGAUGUUUUCCCCACGCUGCCCAGCCCCCGGAGGCGGAGCAGCGCAGAGCUGGAGCAGCACCGGGAGAGGGCAGCGGUGCCAUGCGGUGAAGCCGCUGAGAGAGGAGCAGCGGGACAUGACAGCUGCCCCUCCUCACCAGACUAUAAAAAUACCCGCAGAGCUUUUUUGGUUUGGGUUAUCUUUAUUUUACAGUUUAUAAAAAGCUUUUCCCGA